rnacentral:lncRNA from 1 species
ACACAUGACCUCUGUCCUUCCAGCUGCCACCAGUUUCUGGGUUGUCGAGUGAUACCCUGAAAGUUUACAGUCAACACUCCUUGUGUGGGGUCAGUCCUAGAAAUGGCGACGCUGCUCUCCGAAGAUAGGAAAGAAAAGGACCUCAUUCCAUUGAGCCAUUGACCGAAAUAUUUUCUCAACAAAGUUGAACUGAGCUGAAACUGUAAAAUCUACUGGUGGAGUCACUCCAUUAUUCUUAUCUGUGGAGAUCUAGAUCUUGAUUUGAAAGUUUCUGAGAAAAUCUUCAGCUCAGACUUGAGGGUCAACUUUACCAGCUGAAGGAUCUGCAUUUACUGCUCAACCACAUCUAAUUUGAUGUCCUCUGCAGAUUUAAAAUGUGUGCCUUCUUUUCCGUCACCAAGUCAUCCCUGGGUUACUACUGAACAUCCUUCUCAAUUCCCCCCGACCCAUGGAUGGCUGUUCUCCAUUGUCUGUUUCACCAGAUGUCCUCAAAACAAACAGACAGAAGAAGGAAGUGGCUAAUGGAGCUGUGGAGUCCAAGUGUGACUGCCAAGAGGAAUCCAGCAAAGCCAAAAAGCCCAAGCAUGUAGCCCUGCCCGAAGCACGCCACACGCAUGGAAAACCCAGAGGAAAUGAGUGAGGAUCAAUGGGAAGAAGAGAGCCAGCCAGGUUCGAUGCCUUCUCCAUCCGUCAGUGAGGGUGUGGAGAGCCUGCAGGCGUGUGCCUCCCUCUGUAACUUGCUAUUCCUUGUGUAAUGUCAAGUGGAAGUGUGAAGCACCACAAACUGCUCUGAGCAGAGCCCACUUCCCUUCACCCACGGAGAGCGUGAAGCAGUUACACCAACAUCAAUCAAGGAAAACCCACAGGCUGAGCUCACACGGUUGAAGCAGCUCUGUAUUCUAAGAACCUGGAAACAAUCUUUAU